UACGAAGUUAAAUUUGGUAUUUGAAAUCACAGGAAUAAGUAUAAAUUAGCAACAAUUUGUUUCGCUCAUUUUGCCUCGUUUCACCAUGAAAGAACAACAUUGGCGACCCUGCGACAUCUAGUAAUGAGUUUUGGAACUUAAGUUGGUUGCACAGUCAGUCACAGACAGACAUGACAUUACACGUCGUAACUUUCAUAAGUUACUUUUAAAAAAGUUUAACAAAGGAGAUCGGAUAACAAGUUAACUGUUUUAACUGAAGAUUUGAUGUACCUUAUUGCAAACUAGGUGCUUGUGACAUUAGAAAUGAAAUGGUCUAAUCCAAUAAUGCAAGCUCACAACCUAUGUCUUCUCUUCUGAAGAAAAAUCAUUUCUGUUGCAGUGGUAAAUCUUCAAGAUAUUGAUGCCUUCGCCAGAUCCAAUUCUUUGUUGCUGAUGAGAGAGAUAA